rnacentral:misc_RNA from 1 species
GAUUAAGAACGCAGUGAAAUGCGAUAAGUAGUGUGAAUUGCAGAAUUCAGUGAAUCAUCGAAUCUUUGAACGCACAUUGCGCCCUUUGGUAUUCCUUAGGGCAUGCCUGUUCGAGCGUCAUCUAAACCUUCAAGCCCUGCUUGGUGUUGGGUGCCUGUCCCGCCUCCGCGCGUGGACUCACCUCAAAUCCAUUGGCGGCCCCCGCGUCGGCCACGAGCGCAGCAGAAACGCGAACUCGUGAGCCCGUCCGGGCGGCUCCCAGAAGCUAACCCCCAAUUUUUGACCUCGGAUCAGGUAGGGAUACCCGCUGAACUUAAGCAUAUCAAUAAGCGGAGGA